CAGAUGCUAUGGUAUUGAGGGCUAUAUAAGUAUCUGACAUGAGUAGGCCUCUGCUUAUGCAUGUGUCAAAGACUGACGGAUGCCAUUUAUCUUGGCACCAUUAGCAGGGGAAUCCUCUUAAUUAUGGUCUCUCUUGGUACCAUUUUUGUCACUGUCUUUUGUACAAUCCCACCUCCCUCCAGAAUCCCCAGUUUCCGAAUAUCUCUGGCUGAUUUCCCCAUUCUUCCCUUUUCCUUGGCAAAAUUCAUUCACUGUGGGCACUGACCUGAAGUCCAAGACAAUACCACAAUGCAGGGCUCGUCCACCACCUCCUGUAGGUGCUAUUUGCAGAAACCUUCCUUAUAGCACCAUAGCCACAGAACAACCAGUGUCGUUUAGGGAACUUUAGCCCCAGCCAGGUUGGGGCUGAAAUUUGCUGUUUCUUUUCCUACCAGAUGGUGACUCUGAGCCCUUAUUCACCUCCCAAGUACAUGCAGUUGGGCCCCAAAGCAGAAAACAACAAGCGCCAUCUUCUCCUUAGCAACGUACAAGUGGCUUCCGCAGAGUUCUUGGCUUCUGGGAGAGGCAAUGCACUGAGAAACAUAGCGUUAAAGGCGCGUUGCACAGGAAAACGUGGGCUGUUACCCUAAGCAAGCACGUGAAAUACUGUCUUUGUGUGGUGAGCUCCCCUUCCUGUUUCAGUCUGCCUUAACCACUGCUUCCAAGUCUGAAUGUUCUGAGAGCUCUCACUCCCUACCCCUGCUGACACGUGAUCAUGGAUGCCGUAAAGCACCACAGCACACCUGUGCAGACAGGUGUCCAGAAAGAAACAAGACCCCCUAUCCUCCCCAGGAGCAAUGUUGACCAUGAGAGAGCUGAUGAGCAGCAGUGUUUCAUCCUAAUGGAAUGGAUGAAUCAGGGAAACAUAUGCUGCUACCAUGUAGAUAACCAAAAAGUGGGCCGGUGAGAGUCAGCAAAGAAACUGUCAAGGAGACUUUCUAAUGGUGGGCAUACAGACCAUCACGACAGAGCUGAUGAUCAUCGUGAGUCAUGAA